AUUGAACGCUGGCGGCAGGCCUAACACAUGCAAGUCGAGCGGGGUUUUCGGACCUAGCGGCGGACGGGUGAGUAAUGCGUAGGAAGCUACCCGAUAGAGGGGGAUACCAGUUGGAAACGACUGUUAAUACCGCAUAAUGUCUACGGACCAAAGUGUGGGACCUCCGGGCCACAUGCUAUCGGAUGCGCCUACGUGGGAUUAGCUAGUUGGUGAGGUAAUGGCUCACCAAGGCGACGAUCCCUAGCUGGUUUGAGAGGAUGAUCAGCCACACUGGAACUGGGAAACGGUCCAGACUCCUACGGGAGGAAGCAGUGGGGAAUAAUGGACAAUGGGCGCAAGCCUGAUCCAGCCAUGCCGCGUGUGUGAAGAAGGCCUUCGGGUUGUAAAGCACUUUCAGUAGGGAGGAAGGCGAUAAGGUUAAUAACCUUGUCGAUUGACGUUACCCGCAGAAGAAGCACCGGCUAACUCCGUGCCAGCAGCCGCCGCCGUAA
rnacentral:rRNA from 1 species